AAUCAAAAAAUUUAAUGUCCAGUGCAUAUUAUUCUUAUGUUGCAGAAUCUUUCAAGCAAUGCACUUGCUCAUCCAAUUCGUCAGGAAAUGAAACCAUGCAAUAAAAAUACAGUGUAAUAUACUCUAAACAAAUUCAUUUGAACGUUUUGGUAAUCACAAUUAUAAAGAUGCUUCUUCCCAUUGCACAUUCUUGUAGAGAGUUUCGUGUAAAAAGCACCUUUGUAAUACAAAUAAUAAAGCUAGCAAUAUAUUUAGGCUUCACUUUCAGGGUUCAUUUCACGCAACAGAAUAGUGGCGUCUUCAUUCACGUGCUGUCUGAUCUCAUAACCUAAUGAUGAUUAGCAAACACAUUUAAUGUGAUUUUUUUUUUUUUUAUCAUCAAAUUUACCAUAAAAUGCUAGUGUUCUUUUCACCAAAUCUGUAGAGCAAGAUCCCGGUUCCACUAUGUUGUCAGUAUUAAUUUUGUUUAGUAAACAACAAACCUGUUUCAGCAAUGAAUAUGAGAAUGCUUGAUACAGCCAUGAAAGUGAAAGCGGAUGCCGAGCAUUUCCACCCCCAUCGUUGAUCACCCAAAUGUGAACUCAAUUUGUUUUCAGCUUUUAAUAAAACCAAGCAAAAUAAAGAACUUUUACAAAAAGCAAAAAUCAUGUUUCUCCAAUUUUUUAAAAAGUGCUUGAUUCCUUUUCCGCAAGCCUUGGACCAAGUUUCAUAGAAGUCUCAUGAGUUAGUGAAUGAAGGUAAGAUUAACCACAUUGUCUCACUUACAAGUCAAGAAUAUUAAAGCCAAAGUGCAAACAAGACACCAAAAUCCAAAUAAUGUCCAUUCCGCUGCACCAUAAUUUUUAAAAAAAGCGUCCUUAUACUUUAGAUAACAAAAUGCUGGAGCAUUGAAUAGAAUGAUUGAAGUGAAUGAUAUUAGCAGUAUUAUCAACAAAGGGGAAGAAUUAUCUGUCGUCCCAUAAGAAUGGUUUUCUCUAUGUGUGUUAAGAGGAUUAUUUACAAGUGCAUGAUCUGUUUAAAUUAAUAUAAUGAAAUACUUUAGUAAAGAAAGAGCAUGUAUCAAAGUGUGUGCAUUGCAUGGCCGACUGUAAACAAUGACCAAAGCAUGCAAUUUGACAAGAUGGCAAGUUU